rnacentral:rRNA from 1 species
UACGUAGGGAGCAAGCGUUGUUCGGAUUUACUGGGCGUAAAGGGCGCGUAGGCGGCAAAUUAAGUCAGCUGUGAAAUCUCCGAGCUUAACUCGGAACGGUCAGCUGAUACUGAUCUGCUAGAGUGCGGAAGGGGCAAUCGGAAUUCUUGGUGUAGCGGUGAAAUGCGCAGAUAUCAGGAGGAACACCGAUGGCGAAGGCAGGUCUCUGGGCAUUAACUGACGCUGAGGAGCGAAAGCAUGGGGAGCGAACAGG